AUGAUAAUAUAAGCGUGUAUUUGUAUGAGUGUACAUGUAUGAUUGCGCGUUUGCGGUGUUGAUGCUUGGAGCAUUCCGGCGAGUUCGUGUACGCUGUUCGCUUGAAAGCUUCCUGCUUUUCUGCGUUCUUUGUGUGCUUCGCUGUGACAUCUUUGGAAUAUUCCUGCGUGUUGCUCGCUUUUUAUGGGCUUGUUGCCUCGAAGAUCGCCAUGAUCGCCUCCGACUCGGCGACAUUAACGAUUCAAAAUGAGCUGAGAGACACCCAAGCUGGAAUGCUAAAGGUUCACAUAGGCUGUAAGAGUGCACAUUCAGAAGGUUAUCCUGGCCCAGCUUACUAUGGCCUGCCAUGGUGGACCAGGAAAGUUUGCAAGGGCCUUGCUUCACCAUGUGUUCACAGAGGAGGAGCUCAUGGGCCAUUUGGGCUUUGGAAAUAACACCACGGGGCAACAGAGGCUCUUGACCCCAUCAGGGUCAGUGCUGUUAUAGGUUUCACGUGUCGCAAAUUUCCUGGUACCAACAUGCCCUAUGUAAAGAACUCUGGCCUCGCUUCUCGCAUGGGACCCUGCCCCUGAAGCAACUGCCCCUGCCCCUUCACCUCUGAAGAGCCCAAGUUGGACAGCUCAAACCAAAACACAAGUGUUGUGCUCUUGUAACUCUCGACAUUCUUAUGUUUUAUGUUAGUCUCCUGAAGGACCCAAUUUGGAUUUCUCAAAUGAGCAUACAAAUGUUGUGCCUUUCUAUGGCUUGACAUUUUCAUGUUAAUAUUAUUUAUGUUAAUUAUGCUAGUCUCCUGAGAAGCCCACAUUGGAUUGCUCAAUCCAGAAUACAAGUGCUGUGCUUUGUUAUAGUUAACUACAUUUUUAUGUUAGUUUUUGAUAUGGUUCCAGUAAGGAUAGUGUUUCCUUAUUAAUAUAUUUUUUAAGUAUCUCAAGUCAUUUCAUGCCAAACCACCCAACAAUUUUCUCAAGAACUGUUCCAUUAUGGCAAACCAUUUCAAGUUUGCUUGAUUUUGAGUAGGUACAGCGAGAAAAUGUUCGAGAAAAUUUGCUUUCAUACAUACUCUUAAGUCAUUCCAGGGCAACCAACCAGCGUUUUUUUGGCCAUCACAGAUAUAGUUGAAGCUCCGAACUCUUGCUCCCCAUUUAUUUUCCUUCACAAAAAUUUUUUUGAAUUUUGGCAAAAAUUUAUUGUUCGUGCCCAGCUAAGCUAGAAGCCACUGAUACACGUUUCUUCUGAAAGGGAAAUUGUAUGAUCCAGAUAUUCAGAUGGUGUUCAUGUCAAGAGACUGAAGUGGUGACUGCCAAAAUUUGCAAAGUUUGAAUUUUCUUCUAACGUAGGGAAAUACAGAAGGCACAAAAUGAAUAUAAAAUCAGACUGGUUGACUUGGUAUAGCUGCAAAAUAUUUCAAGCCUUGGAGGUUCAGUUGAUCAGGUAAAAAAACUAAAGUUGAAAUUUUUUGCAAGCUUCGUGUUGAAGGUAAAAAAUUAGCUUUGGUGGUUGGCACAAAAAUGUGUCACCCAUCACUACACAGCCGUACAUGUCUGCUAUGCAUGUGACAAGUAACAAAAAGUUAUUAUUCUUUAAGUGUGAUAAAUUAUUUUUUAUAAUGUUCAUUUGUGGAUCACACAUACAGCAUAAAUAUAUGAAGCCAUGUCAUCUAGGAAGGAAAGGUUGUUAAUAUAUUAGCCACAAGAACUACUCAACAAACUGACUGCCUUUUUUAUCAUUACGAAAGCAGGUGACGUCAAGCGCUGCAGCUGCAGUCUCAACUCGUAUUUUUUUAACAUGAACGCAAAAAGUGGUCGCCAAUGGUGUCUGACCACAUCAGACUGAACAUGGCACAUAUGACUUUUAUAGAUGAGCAUGUUCCAGCUCUGAAACAGUGGUAGCAAACAACACCACAAGAAUUUGUUCAUACUCAUGUAGGUUUUCAGUCUGAAUUAUGAAGGUGUUUUCUACUUGCAUCAUCAUUGGGCUUCAGGGAGCAGGGCACAAAGUGUCCUGCUCCCUCUUUGUUGCAUUGCAAUGCGACAGGCCCUUUAAGAUGCUUUGUAUGAACAAUAUCAGUGCUCUUUCUGGAUUUACUGUCUAAAUAAUAGCUGAUAUUUCUUUUUCUAAACUGCAUGGAACAUAUCUUUUAGCACUGCAGGAUUCCCUCACAUAUUUAUUACGUACGAGGUCUGUUAGAAAAGUAUUCGACCUUUUUUUUGCGAACACCUGAUGAAUAUGAAACAAGCACGUUUUCAUCAGCCGCCCUUGAACCUUUGUGCGCAUGCACGAAUUUUUUCCCGCCUGCCAAUAUCGUGAAUUGCUGAGACGCAGCAUUUGAAUGAGGUAGUACAGUGCUCUCGUCGGUUUUUUAUUGCAAGGAAAAUGGCAGAGCGACUGGAGCAGUGCUACUGCAUCAAAUUUUGCCAGAAACUGGGCGACAGCCAAGUGGAAACCAUCCGGAAGAUUCAGACUGCUUUCGGUGACUAUGCUAUGAGCAGCACACAGAUUAAGGAGUGGUACAACCAGUAUAAAGACGGCCACACAUCGGUGGAGAGCGAGCCACGCUCCAGUCGGCCAUCAACAUGCCGAAAUGACCAGGUCAUUGCCAAAGUGAACCCCGUGGUGAUGCGGGACCGUAGUGUAACUAUCCAAGAAAUUGCGGAAGAGGUGGGCAUCAGCACAUUUUAUCCACAUUCCAUUAUCACCGAAGAUUUGGCCAAGAGAGUUGCGCCGAAAUUCGUUCCCAAGCUGCUCAUGGUGGAGCAAAAGCAACUUCGUGUUGAAGUCUCACAGACAUGCUGGAUUCCACAAACAGUGACCCCAACUUCAUGAACACCAUAAUCACUAGUGACAAGUCUUGGGUGUAUGUUUACGACCUGGAAACCAAAUCCCAGUUGUUACAGUGGAAGCAUUCCACACCAUAAUCACUUGUGACAAGUCUUGGGUGUAUGUUUACGACCCGGAAACCAAAUCCCAGUCGUUACAGUGGAAGCAUUCCACACCAUAAUCACUUGUGACAAGUCUUGGGUGUAUGUUUACGACCCAGAAACCAAAUCCCAGUCGUUACAGUGGAAGCAUUCCACGUCGCCAACCAAAGACUGCUAAGUGUGCAGCAACGUCAAAGUGUUGCUGACUGCUUUCUUUGACUCCCGCAGUGUGGUACACCACGGAUACACACCACAGGGUCAAACAAUCACUAAAGACUACUACAGGGAUGUCCUCCAUGGCCUAUGUGAUGCUGUAUGGAGCAAGAUACUGAGGUUGUCAACAGGAAAUUGGCACAUCCAUCACGACAAUGCUUUUCUCGCACUUGAUUCAGACUUUUUUGGCGAAAAACCAGACUCCUGUAGUUCGACAGGCCCCUUGCUCUCCUGAUAUGGCGGCCUGCAACUUCUGGCUGUUUCCCAAAAUCAAGGGGCCAUUGAAGCAAGCGUGAUUUCAGACAAUAGAAGACAUUAUGGCUGCAACAACAGCUGAGCUAAAGUCCAUUUGGAAAGAGGCCUUCUCGGAAUGCUUCUAACAAUGGCAGCACCGCUGGGAGAAGUGGCGGGAUUCCCAAGGAGACUACUUUGAGGGUGAUUAAGUUUCCAACGCUUCAGUUAUGCCAGUUUUUUUUCUUCAGCCAAAGGUCGGAUACUCUUCUAACAGACCUCGUAUUGAUAUUUUAUGUGCAAUGGCUGUAUGGUUUGCCUGGCCCACACCAAACACAAGCCUCGUUGCGUUGGAGCAUGUGUCCCUUGGCAAUAAUAUGCAGACCCUAACACCGCUUCUUUGUCAUCUGUGUUGCAUACGAAGCCGGCUUUGUCGUCUGCAUUCCCGGCCAGCAAGCUGUGCGCACCUCAGAGAAAAGUCGGUGCUGACAAAAUUUCAAAAAAGAAUUUCUUGCAUUUAAAAAUGCCUUUUUUAACUUCAUACAUGCAUAGCAGACAUGUAGAGCUAUCCAAUAAUGUAUAACAUUUUUUCGCCAACUACGAAGGCUGUUUUUUCCUUUAACAUGAAGCUUCUUGCAAAAGAUUAGAAUUUUUUUUACAGGCGAUCAGCUGAACCUUCAGAGCUUCAUAUAUUUUUCUGCUAUACUAUGUCAGCUGGGCUACCAUUCUGUAGUACUAUAGCGCCAAACAGAUGACACGGGAAGAAGAGACACAGAAAGCGCUCGUCUGUGUCUCUUCUUCCCGUGUCGUCUGUUUGGCGCUAUAGUACUUCAGUAAUGCACCAACUAGCCCAACAAAACGUUUUGCUGGAAUACCAUUCUGUAUUUAAUUUCUGUCCUGUGAGUAUUUUCUAACGAAAAAAAAAACUAACGGAUUGCAAUUUGACUCAUUUUUGCCAAUGCCAAAAGCAAUUGAAGUAUUCAAAUAUUUGAAAAAUUGGCUAUUUUGGCAGUUUCAUCACUUCACCGUACUUCCACGCACACCAUUUGAAGGCCUCGAUCAAUACAAUGUGCAUUUGAAAAAAAAGUAUUUGAAGCAUUUGAAGAAAAAAUGAAAAGCUAGAGGACAUUUGAUGUCCUCUAGCUCAGCUGAACAGGAAAACUAAACUGUCACCUAAAAUGCUACAAAAUAUCUGGCAAAAAUAAAUAAAAGUGGGUAACGAGCUUCGAAUUCUAGUAAACAUAUGGCAAUGUUUCAGAUAUAUGUGCGGUAUCAAAAAAAAUGCUUGUCAAUUCGGCAUGGAAUCGCGUGCCUGCAAGUGCAUCUGUGCCAUUUUUCGAGUUCAGUAAAAACGGCAUUUUACAUAACUUUGUAAAAAUGGCUUAUUGCUAUCUAAAAUACAUGAGUAAAAUUAAUAGGUAUAAGUCGGCUUAAAUUUAAUAUGCAACGAAACAUCUCCAGUAAUGGCGAUGAUGUGCCUUUCAUGUUUACAUAAAACCAUAUCUUCUGAAUUCUUUCGUUAUUUUUUGUGGCAGCGAAUAAAAUUGAAAUGGAACUCGCACAAGGAGCAACUUUGCUGUAUUCCAGCACAUCUCUAAUAGCUGUCUUUAUUUCAUAUGAAAAUCUGAAGCAGUUAAUAUGAAUAAGUCGCUUGAUAUGGAAUUACCUGUGCAGGAACGGUAUCAUGCAGAAAACACAACUGGAUCAUGCAACAGCAAUGCAGCAUAAUAAACUGCUCCCAUAAGCAUCACUUAUUGUGAUUGCCAUGUUUCAAAAGUAUGUAAGGUUUACUGAAAUUGGCGCACACCAUUCAAGCAACAUAUAAGGAUUGUACAGUGAUCCUUUUUCAGUUUUACAGAUAUUUAAGUUGUCUGCCAGGUAGCAUAUUUCUUGUUCUUGAGCUGGAUUAUUCAGAGGUGGACAUUACUAGCACAAGAAAUGAAAACAUUAAACUGAUUGUCAUAAAUUCAUUAAUUCACUUAUAACAUCACAGCACAUAUUUCAGUUUGCAAAUUGUAGCCAGUGAGUUUUCAAGACAUUCACUUGAAAUUAAUUUCUAAGGUGACACCAGUUUCGAAAUUUUCCCAUAAAUGUGAGAGAAAUACAUGGGCAUUCCGGUUACUUUUGUGCUUCGAUGCAUAACAGUGCGUUUUGUUAAAAAAAGUAAGUGCUACAGCAGUGCAUUUAUACAGCCAGUUUGAUGGCAUGUGUCUCGUUACUAGUGUCAUUCUGGAAAUUCAUUCUAAGUGCAUACACCUUGUAAAAUUACCGGCUACAAUUCGUAAAAACUUUAUUAGGAACUGAGUUUUUGUUAAUCAGCUGACUAUGGUGUCUUGUUUCUCAUGCAAGUAAUGUUUGGCACUCUGUAUCUAGAAUUAUGUUAGCUGCAACAGUCUUCAAUAAGUUCCAUGAAACUUAAAGAUAACCACCCUGCAUAUCAGGUCUCAGUUGAGUGCUGUGGGCACAAGCAAAUUGUGCCAUGGUUAUAGUACCACUGGCUACCUAAUAGAGAAAGCAAGUACCUUUUUUUAGUGUUCUUAUUUACAGUCAUGUCAGUCUGCUUGUACAUUUAUUUAUUUAGGCAUUUAUUUUUUAAAAUUUAUUUCUUUUGGUAAAUGUGUUUUACUUGAGAGCCACACUGACUACAUCUUCAGUAUUCAAUUUUGUUAUGGUGUCAAGCUGCAGGAAGUUUGUACUGUGCAAUAGUUUUUAAGAAGUUUCUGAUCUCAAACUACAAAUGGUUGUACAUUUACACAGAUGUGUGGUUACAAAUAAACAGUUCACCUAGAAAAA